UGGAGGAAAGGUGAGCUUUUAUCUUUCAUGGCUACACCCUUCUUGUAAAGUGUUACUAAUUCAAUAGAUAAAUUGACAUCCCAAUACAUGAGAAUGUGGCAUACAUCUCACAGGUCGUCAAAAUAGGCCGAUUCAAUUAGCAAGUUGCUAGCAUGUGCUUUGAAUAUCACACAAUGGAGACCAACCAUGGGCCCCACAUCUACAGCCAUGGGCACCACAUGUACAAACUUUGAUCAUCAAUGUGGGCCAUAGUGGUGAUGUAUGCCAUCGAAUCUAUUGAUCUACGGAUUAAUGGAUUCCCCAUAAAUCUGGACAUUCUAAUAGUCAUGUGGCCAAAUCAUGUGAAUUUUAAAGUAUUUAGAGCACGAUUUUACACCAUUCCCUAUGUUGCAGCCCAUGUAAAUCUUAGGAGCAGAUCCAUCACUAAAUCCUAUCUACAUCAUCCCAAGUCCAACCACAUAUCAUAAUCCAACUUGGUAGUAGACAUUCCUCUUAUUCAUAUAAAUCAGCUAAGAUUAGGAUGAAGAAUCUGAUUCAUAUAGAUCUCCCUUUGAAUCAUCAUUUACCACAAAAAUUCUAGUUGAGUGCAGAAAACAUGCCUAGCUAUUCAAAUAAAUGUCUCUUGAUUUUCACUUAAACUGCAAAUCAUUUUUUUCAAGUGCCUGAGAUCAUGAUCACCUAUCAAUGCAAUAUAAGCAUAUAUGUGUAUGCAUGCAGAUGUGCAGGGACUAAACAAGAAAAUAAGUUAGAUUGAGAUUUAGGCAAAAAAAAUAAAAUAAAAAAUACAAACACAUUAAUUUGCAUUUGGCCCUUUUUUUCAUUUUAUACUAAACCUCCUAAUAGAGUAGUAAACCACACUGUGUGACUAUGUGAUUCUAAUCCUUAUGAAUAUUAUUUGGUAGUGAUGGUUGCCAACUUCUGUUAGGCGUUUCUAACUUUUCCCAUUUCCACUUGUUAUGAAGGACACUAAUUAUGUGGAGGAACUAAAGGAGGCUUUCAAGGUCUUUGACAAAGAUCAAAAUGGUUACAUUUCUGCUGUAGAGAAUUGAGGCCUUGCAUUGGAUUGCAACACUUUUGGCAAGACAUCGGGCUAAGGCAAUCAUUGAUGAUUUCUUGUUCAUUUAUAACAUCAGUUCGUGCAUAUGUACUUACUGUACAUUGAUCACUCGUAUAGGUUUCCUGAAGUAAUAUCAAAUGUUGUGUUCACUGCCUCUGUUCGUGUGAGUAAAUAUCAUUUACUGGAUUUUAAAUAUUUUAACACAGAAUGAUGUUUUUAUGGUUUUUCUUUUUCUUUUUAUUUUUCUGCUUGUGACAAUUGUAAAAAUUUUGGUGACCAAAGAAAAUAUUGCUGUUGAUGGCUUGCUAUAAGAGGCAUGUGCAUGUUAGCUUUCCUUUUUAGGUGGCUGUCUUUUCCGAGGUAGAGUGUGUUUAUUUUAUUUUUUGAGUUGAUGAAUUUCUUUUUCACUUAUAAGAAACUGUUGCAUCUCAUUUGGAUAGCAUUGAUCAGAGAAGAAUGAAUCCUUUGCAAUCUAUCAUCUAUUGGGUUAUACACAUCACUACAAGAAAGGCUAAGAUGAUGAUGGUGAUAAUAUACUCGUGAGCUUUUGCAUGUCCAUCUUUUAGAUUCUCUAUACAAAAUGGAGAACAAUCUCUAUAUACAAAGCUAUGUAUCAUUCCUUCCCAUUGAGGCUAUAGGACCUAUGGGUUUGGAUUUUAUAGUACCUCAAACAGUAAUAUUAGUGGAAACAUUUCUGAAAUUCAGUUUUGUGUUAAUUUUGCAUGUGAUGCUGCAAAAAUGUAUUUGAUUAUUCACUGGCCUCUUCAAAUCAAUAGAAAAUAAUCUUUUUUAGCAUCUUUGUCCAAACAUAGUUAAAAAAUGUCACACUCUUUGUCAUGCAGUAAAAUUCAGGUUUCACUAUCAACCUGAAUUUUGUGAACCUUUCUGGGAAUAGAACUCGAUGGGGCGUUAAGAAGCCUCAAAUCAUGGAAAAUUCUGUCACGAUCUUGUUGAAUGCAGGUCUUAGGAUGGCCAUGUUCAGUCUUGGAUUGUUCAUGGCCUUGCAGCCAAGAAUCAUAGCCUGUGGGACUAAACUCACCGCAUAUGGAUUGGUUGCGAGGUUCCUCACUGGCCCGACUGUCAUGGUGAUUGCAUCUGUUGGGGUUGGCCUCAGAGGCACAAUCCUCAAAGUGUCCAUUGUUCAAGUGGGUCCAUUGCAUUUUCAGCUCAAUCUUCAAAACACACACAAACACAUUUUCAGCCUCUCACGUAUAAUGUCAUAACAUGCAAUUUCUUCCAUUUUGUAUGAUGAAAUUGAUUUUCAGCCUGUACAGUAAGCUUUC